rnacentral:rRNA from 1 species
GCCUAUAUGCAGUCGAGCGGUAACAGANAGUAGCUUGCUACUUUGCUGACGAGCGGCGGACGGGUGAGUAAUGCUUGGGAACAUGCCUUGAGGUGGGGGACAACAGUUGGAAACGACUGCUAAUACCGCAUAAUGUCUACGGACCAAAGGGGGCUUCGGCUCUCGCCUUUAGAUUGGCCCAAGUGGGAUUAGCUAGUUGGUGAGGUAAUGGCUCACCAAGGCGACGAUCCCUAGCUGGUUUGAGAGGAUGAUCAGCCACACUGGGACUGAGACACGGCCCAGACUCCUACGGGAGGCAGCAGUGGGGAAUAUUGCACAAUGGGCGCAAGCCUGAUGCAGCCAUGCCGCGUGUGUGAAGAAGGCCUUCNGGUUGUAAAGCACUUUCAGUCANGAGGAAAGGUUAACGGUUAAUACCCGUUAGCUGUGACGUUACNGACACAAGAAGCA